rnacentral:rRNA from 1 species
UACGUAGGGUGCAAGCGUUGUCCGGAAUUAUUGGGCGUAAAGAGCUCGUAGGUGGCCUGUCGCGUCGGCUGUGAAAACUCGGGGCUCAACUCCGAGCUUGCAGUCGAUACGGGCAGGCUAGAGUUCGGCAGGGGGAGACUGGAAUUCCUGGUGUAGCGGUGAAAUGCGCAGAUAUCAGGAGGAACACCGGUGGCGAAGGCGGGGUCUCUGGGCCGUAACUGACGCUGAGGAGCGAAAGCGUGGGGAGCGAACAGG